rnacentral:misc_RNA from 1 species
AAGUCGUAACAAGGUUUCCGUAGGUGAACCUGCGGAAGGAUCAUUAACAAAUCAAUGUUGCACAUUUAUUUGUGUGACAAUAUGCGCUCCGGAGCAAUCCGGAUGCACAAUAUAAGCUUUAUUGUAUUUAUUUUAUGUUGCAAAAAAAUGUAAAAACCACUUUUAACAACGGAUCUCUAGGCUCUU